CCCUGAAAAUGGAUGGCGCGGAAGCGUNNACCCAUACCGGAUCCGCUUCGGCAUUGCCGUGCAAGGCNAGCUGAAGCGAGUAGGAGGGCCGCUGCGGUGAGCGCCGAAGCCUGGGACGCGAGUCUGGGUGGAGCCGCCGCA
rnacentral:rRNA from 1 species